UCUUUAUGGCCAGGGUUAGACAAGGAAGUACCACACCAGGCCCACAUUCAGACAGAUGAGGCUGGAUAAUGUCUCUGUUGCGCUCGAGUUUCUGGAACAGGAGAAUGUCAAGCUGGUGUCCAUAGACAGUAAGGCCGUUGUGGACGGGAAUAUGAAGGUGAUUUUGGGGUUGGUGUGGAUCCUACACUACUCCAUCUCUUCUCAUUUACUGGAGGACGAGGGCCAGGACAAGACCAAAAAACAGACCCCUGAGCUACGGCUGCUGGGUGGAUCCUGGACAAGGUGCCCGAACUGCCUAUCACCAACUUCAGCCAGGACUGGCAGAAUGGCAUGGCUCUUGGGACACUGGUGGACGGACUGGCCCCAGGUGAACUAUAACUGGAUUCAUGAAGACAACAUCCAGCGUUGUUGUUACUGGGCCUGUGUCCAGACUGGGAGAGCUGGGACGAGGUACAGCAAGUAGACAAUGCCAGAGUGUCCAUGCAGCAGGCUGACGAGUGGCUGGGAGUGCCACAGGUCAUUGCCCCAGAGGAGAUCAUUGACCCUCGUGUGGAUGAGCAGUCCAUCAUGACUUACCACUCCAUGUUCCCCAAAGCUCAACUGAAACCUGGAGCCCCCCUCAAUCCCCAAUCAGGGUUGAACCAGGGUUUACAGAGUUGGACGUGAAGAUUAUUCUAUGUGUAUAUUCCUCUAACCCAUUUGAUGAAGUCCCAGUCAAUGUGGAGGUGGUUCGUAAAGAGCGGAGCCUCUAUACUUGCUACUACACUCCAACCACUCUGGCCAAACACGCUAUCUGUGUGACUUGGAGGGGUCAGUGUUCCUGGCAGUCCUUUUAAAGUCAAGGGUGGUUUCGUGGGAACCCUAGCAGAGGUCACCAUAGACACAAACAGCUCGGGCAGCCAUCGGCUCAAGGUGACAGAUGGCCCCAGCCCGCCGAAAAUAAAGUGUUCCGAUAACGAGGAUGGAACUUGUACAAAGAUAGUUCCUAUAGGGUGGUAUAUCUGCUCCUCAUCGCUGGUGUACACGCUACGGCGGAAGUAUGGUUGGGAAGUGGGUGCCAAUUUCGCCUCCGAGGUUGUUGUGCAUCUGGCUUUUUACAAGAGGCAAGUGAAGGUGUCGGACUGGAGCUGAAAGGGAAGGAGGUCUGAAUGGCCUUGACAGAGAAUGUGACCCAGCCAGAUUGUUUGCAAAUGGAAUAGGACUUCUAGGGCAGAGUAACAGUUUCAACAUCACAACCAGGGGUGCUCGAGCAGGUGGCUUGGCCAUCACUGUGGAGGGCCCAUCGGAGGUGCAGGUCACCAUCACAGAGAAACAAGAUGGAUGCUAUGUUGUAGAGUACAUCCCCAGUGUGCCGGGGCUGUAUGACAUCAACAUCACCUACGGAGGAGAACAUAUUCUAGGCAAUAGUUUUCAGACUGGGAAUAUGUUAGUGGUUCGUUUGCCAUUGAUGCCCUUUCUAUUACCAUUGUUGUUAACGUGAGAACUGUAGAGACACAUUUGUUUAUCAGAUAAGAUUUCAACUUAAUUUAAACUCAUAUGAGGCCUACUAGUAUUGAGUCAUCUAAAAUUGAUGAUAUUUAUUCAGAACAUUAGACAAGUAUAACGUACACACUGGGAGUCGAGAAGCAGGUAGUACAUUUAAUUAAACAAAGAAUAUGGAAUGAUACACCAUAGGAGUAGCAUCUUGACAUGAAACACAGACACAAUACUGGCUGGGGAAACCUAAGGAAGUGCCAGAUAAAAGGGAGGUAAUGAGUGAGGUAAUGGAGUCCAGGUGUGUCUCAUAAUGAAGCGCAGGUGUGCAUAAUGAUU